UAGUCUUUUUAUUAAUUGAUAGUGGACUUACACAUGCAAGACUCCUCUAACCAGUGAGAAUGCCCUCUAUAUCUAGUUCAGAUCAAAAGGAGCAGGCAUCAAGCACACAUACUAAUAAUGUAGCUCAUAACGCCUUGCUAAGCCACGCCCCCACGGGACACAGCAGUGAUUGAAAUUAAAUAAUAAAUGAAAGUUUGAUUAAGUCACACUAUAACUAGGGUUGGUAAAUCUCGUGCCAGCCACCGCGGUCAUACGAUUAACCCUAAUUAAUAAACCACGGCGUAAAGCGUGAUUAAGAGUACAUCUCACAAUAGGACUAAAAUCUAACUAAGCCGUAAAAAGCCAUAGUUUGAGUUAAAAUAGUUCACGAAAGUAGUCCUAAGUUAACCUGAAUUCACGACAGCUAAGACCCAAACUGGGAUUAGAUACCCCACUAUGCUUAGCCAUAAACAAAAUACUCAACAAACAAGAGUAUUCGCCAGAGCACUACUGGCAACAGCUUGAAACUCAAAGGACUUGGCGGUGCCUUAUAUCCCUCUAGAGGAGCCUGUUCUAUAAUCGAUAAACCCCGAUACACCUCACCACCUCUUGCAACUAUCAGCCUAUAUACCGCCAUCCUCAGCAAACCCUAAAAAGGUCUUAAAGUAAGCAAGACUGUAAUAUACAAGUACGUUAGGUCAAGGUGUAGCCUAUGAGGUGGAAAGAAAUGGGCUACAUUUUCUAUUAACUAGAACAGUUCUAACAAAACCCUCAGUGAAACCCUGAGGCCCAAGGCGGAUUUAGUAGUAAGUCUAAGAAUAGAGAGCUAGACUGAAUAGGGCAAUAAAGC
rnacentral:ncRNA from 1 species